GACGGAAGGUGCAAGCGUUACUCGGAAUCACUGGGCGUAAAGCGUCUGUAGGCGGACAAGUUAGUCUGGGGUAAAAGGCGGAGGCUCAACCUCCGUUCUGUCCUGGAAACUGCUUGUCUUGAGCAACUCAGAGGCAUCUGGAAUGCUGUGAGUAGGGGUAAAAUCCGUUGAUCCACAGUAGAACGCUAAAAGCGAAAGCAGGAUGCUGGGGGUUUGCUGACGCUGAGAGACGAAAGCGUGGGGAGCGAACGGG
rnacentral:rRNA from 1 species